rnacentral:misc_RNA from 1 species
AACCUUAUGGACCUGCGGGCGUAUACCUGCGGAAGGAUCAUUACCUAGAGUUGUAGGCUUUGCCUGCUAUCUCUUACCCAUGUCUUUUGAGUACCUUACGUUUCCUCGGUGGGUUCGCCCGCCGGUUGGACAAAACUUAAACCCUUUGUAGUUGCAAUCAGCGUCUGAAAAAACUUAAUAGUUACAACUUUCAACAAUGGAUCU